CCUACGGGAGGCAGCAGUGGGGAAUAUUGCACAAUGGGGGAAACCCUGAUGCAGCGACGCCGCGUGAGCGAGGAAGUAUUUCGGUAUGUAAAGCUCUAUCAGCAGGGACGAAAAAAGACGGUACCUGACUAAGAAGCCCCGGCUAACUACGUGCCAGCAGCCGCGGUAAUACGUAGGGGGCAAGCGUUAUCCGGAUUUACUGGGUGUAAAGGGAGCGUAGACGGCAAGGCAAGCCAGAAGUGAAAGGGCAGGGCUCAACCCUGUACAUGCUUUUGGAACUGUGGUGCUAGAGUGCAGGAGAGGUAAGUGGAAUUCCUAGUGUAGCGGUGAAAUGCGUAGAUAUUAGGAGGAACACCAGUGGCGAAGGCGGCUUACUGGACUGUAACUGACGUUGAGGCUCGAAAGCGUGGGGAGCAAACAGGAUUAGAUACCCCGGUA
rnacentral:rRNA from 1 species